AAACAUAUUGAUAAUCGUUGAUCAAAUACCAGAUACAAAUAUUAAAAAGAAAAACCAAACAACAAGUUGUUUCACUCCCAACAUGGAACGCCACAAGCUUACCCCUUAUUCAACUUUUCUCAUUGAGGGGGAAGACUAAUCGAUUUUAAUAAUUAAUCUUGCAUUUCUUGUAUUAGUGGUACCAUAUGUCCAAUGACUUAGAGUUACAUGGAUCAGAUUCAAACAUAAAGAAUGCCAUUUCCACAAUUCCAAUGUAGGCGUCUUACAAAAAUAGGCUCUCUGUAUUCCGCUCUUUACUAAUACUAAUCUAACCCUGAGAAGUACAGAGUUACAUGGAUCUGAUUCAAACAUAAAGACUGCCAUUUCCAAGAUUCCAAUGUAGGCACCUUACAAAAAUAGGCUCUCUGUAUUCCGCUCUUUACUAAUACUAAUCUAACUCUGAGAAGUACAGCUGUGCGAUUUGUUAGUCUUUUUUGCCUUUCCAAGAGAGACAGGUUUUUCCAUGAGAAGUAGUCUUUCACUUCUCCUUUUAACCCUGGAAUGCAGAGUCUUAAGUGCUAGUAUACUAGCAGUUUCUGAAACUGUUAGUUUACUGUCAGUACAUUAACCAUUAUCUCACUUUUCAAGUUGGUCUAAUGGGUCUUGAAUAGCCACAACUAACAUUUAAACCAGCACGGAGAUAUAGUAGAGACUUAAUGGAGGGGCGGAAUAGUUUAUUUUUGUCAAAAGUAUGAUGCAAGACAAUUAAAGAUUGUAAAGCUAUGUAGAGGCAAAAGGAAGCAACCUAGCUAUAAGCUGGACAGAAUAGAAUUUACUGGCUUUCAACUCUUCCACAGAAACUAUUAUUCACUGGUUUUCA
rnacentral:lncRNA from 1 species